GACGAACGCUGGCGGCGUGCUUAACACAUGCAAGUCGAACGGAAAGGCACUGCUUUUGUGGGGUGCUCGAGUGGCGAACGGGUGAGUAACACGUGAGUAACCUGCCCUUGACUUUGGGAUGACUUCAGGAAACUGGGGCUAAUACCGGAUAGGAGCUCCUGCUGGAUGGUGGGGGUUGGAAAGUUUAGGCGGGUGGGGAUGGACUGGCGGCUUAUCAGCUUGUUGGUGGGGUAGUGGCUUACCAAGGCUUUGACGGGUAGCCGGCCUGAGAGGGUGACCGGCCACAUUGGGACUGAGAUACGGCCCAGACUCCUACGGGAGGCAGCAGUGGGGAAUAUUGCACAAUGGGCGGAAGCCUGAUGCAGCAACGCCGCGUGCGGGAUGACGGCCUUCGGGUUGUAAACCGCUUUCGCCUGUGACGAAGCGUGAGUGACGGUAAUGAGUAAAGAAGCACCGGCUAACUACGUG
rnacentral:rRNA from 1 species